rnacentral:tRNA from 1 species
AUUUAUAUAGUUUAAAUAAAACAAUUCAAUUUCAAUGAAUAAAUGAGUAAAUUACUCUAUAAAUU